rnacentral:lncRNA from 1 species
UUUUUUAAAACAAAAGGGAAAAUAUAUAUUAAAUAAAAAUAAAGAGAUAUAGAGCCCGGGGGCAUUAGACUUGACUCAGGUACAACUCAAUCGAGAAUACAUCGUGAUAAUACAAACCAGGAGGAUCAGCCCUAAUCAAUUCUAACAAAAUAAGCACUCAUCACGAGCACAACCCAGCAAACCCGUGUACGGGUGCAAAACUAGGUUACAAAAUAAAGAUGAAGAGUGAGAAUCUGUAAGGAUAAAAAAGGGUUCAAAACAUGGAAAUGAAUCGAUCGCCAACACGGAAACAAGAUCCAUGUACAAACAACCUCAUGAACAAAGCAACAUGCAUAGUAGCUCUUUCGAGCAUAACAGUCCAAGCAGUACCACAUGGACUGAGACAAAUAUGAAGUUGGUGCCAGAGUGGAGGUAGGCUUGAUGCCUUGAGACUUGCAGAUCUCAAUAGACCUUAAACAUCAGAGAAUUGAAGAGCAUAGGAACACAAUCAAAGAGAAUCUAACUUGAUAUUUUAUGAUGAUAUAAUAAAACAAAUCAUAUUAUAUUAUGCAUCAAAGUAAAAAUAGAAUAAAAUAAAAUCAUGUGUGGAUUAAAAUAGCCAUCAUUCAUUUCGAAGUUAAUUACAUCCAUUCACAAUUCCUCAUGAAAUUAAUUAAAAACAUCUAACUAUUAUAGUAACACAGUUCUUUUUAGAAACUAAACAGUAAGAGAAAUUUCUAUCACCUCUGAAGUAAUCAUCUGUUAAUCCAUCACUCUUCCACAACAAACAUUAAUGGCAAUAAACAUAAUUAGCAGAAUCCCACAAGCAAUAAACACCAACCAAGAAGCACUACUAAUGCAUCGUAGUUCAGAGGCUAACAUCAACAGAGUUUAUUCAAGUAACCAACAUCAAGUUUCUCACACAAACCUAAUAAACAUCAUGAAACUUAAUUACUCAAAAUUUUAAAAGUAAAAUUCUAGAGACUUGUUCCUUGAGUUAGAAGCAAGUACUUGAAUUACAAUUUACAAGUAAAUGCUAAGCUAUGAAGCAUAGAUACCGAAUGCAAUACGGACCCUAACACGCUGAUAAUAAUUUGAAAAAAUGACAUAGUUUAAUAUAAUCAUAAGUGUCGGUGGUGGACAACAACGCGUGUUCGGCACGAAGACACGCCUAAUCCGAAGAGUGUCUGUGCUUCAUAGAUGCUAAGCAAUAAUGCUCAUUUUUUCUUCUUUUAUUUAUUGCCUCCUCACACACACACACAACCAUUUAGAUCUCACUGUUUUUCCUUCCUUCCCAAGCAAAAUAUACAAUUAAAGUAGCCUUUGACACACUACCUUUCAUUUCAUUGAUGUAUAAACAUGUAUGCUGAAAAUUUAAGUUUCUAAAGAAACUUUUCACCAAACUUCAAGAAAAAAAACCUUUCAUGUUUACUUAUAUUUAUACUACUACAUGCAUCAACACACUCACUUUAAAAAUCACCCUUCUAUUUUCCACUCCUUUCUCACAAAAUAUGGUGAUGAUGAAACAUCAUAUUCUUUCUCUCCCACUUCUUGUAAUGAUUUUUUGC